rnacentral:rRNA from 1 species
AACGAACGCUGGCGGCGAUGCCUAACACAUGCAAGUCGAACGAGACCUUCGGGUCUAGUGGCGCACGGGUGUGUAACGCGUGGGAAUCUGCCCUUGGGUUCGGAAUAACUCGCCGAAAGGCGUGCUAAUACCGGGUGAUGUCGUAAGACCAAAGAUUUAUCGCCCAGGGAUGAGCCCGCGUAAGAUUAGGUAGUUGGUGAGGUAAAGGCUCACCAAGCCGACGAUCUUUAGCUGGUCUGAGAGGAUGACCAGCCACACUGGGACUGAGACACGGCCCAA